AAGUCUUGUGACAAACGAAGCCCAAGUUAGGGAGGCUAUUUAAGCCAAUGGUUUAACAUUAUAUUGGGCCAAGAUGUUCAGCCCAAGAUUUUUAUAUAAUAGGCCCAACUACAUUCAUUCACUACUAACAAAAUUGGGCCCAAACAAAGUGCAAGAAAGAUUAAGGAAAUGGGCCACUAAAGCCCAUUGAUUUAGAGAUCCAAAAGGCCCAAGUGAAAGGGGA
rnacentral:lncRNA from 1 species